AACUUGUGGUGUGCAUCUGACGGGCGAAAUUUUGGAAACAUCAGGCAGAAUUGGGAAUAUCACAAGUUGUGAACAAGACAUUGUGGUGUCUUUGCCAUCAUUCUCUCAUCUCGAUGCCAGAUGGCCAUUAAGAAGGAUCAUAAAUGUGUGAUCCUGAGCACUGAGAAAAGAUUGUUGCUGAUAUAGAGUUUUGUAAAGAUGGAUCCCACAGUCCACGACAGAAAGAAGUAGGACAGAAAAUUCCAUCUUCAUCGAAAAGGGGAGGUUUGCAUUUUAAGGAGCAGUACAUAUUGGCAGCCAUGUAGCUAUGUAGUUGCUUUGAAGAAUUUUUUCCCUUGUCUGGUGAUUGGUUGGACUUUGAAUACCUCCUAUCCUUAUAGCCAUGGAACACGUGACAUUGACUCCAUUUACACUUGAGGAAGCAAUAACGAACAUAUUUGCAACAAGUAUUAUUUGUGACCAUAAAACCAAAAAUUGUUUAUUUUUUAAAGCACCUAUAUUUAAAAGACAUCUAGCGGAGGAAUUGCUUGUUACUGAGUACUCUACUGAACUGUCAAUUUGUUCGUUGUCAGGGGGCUACAUCGAGUUGGUUGCCUCGCGAAUUGGAAAUGUUUUGCCGAAUUCCAGGAUAUCGCCAAGUGUGCCAUAUUGUCACAAUCGUUUUUCUCCUUAGGAUAUUACCAAUGUGCAGUUGAAUUCUAAAGGGUUUUGUUUGAUAUGCUAUAUUUAAAGAACUGAUGUUGGCACCAGCUUGAUGGAAAAAAGUCAUUUCCAACGUGGGUGCAGGAAACUUGGAUUUAUUUGGUGAUAGAGUUGGAUGGUUUUUCUGAGGUUGCAGUUUGAAACAACCUUUCAAAGCCUAAAUUCAUCUUCGUAGAAAGGGACUUGU